rfam:Novibacillus thermophilus strain SG-1, complete genome.
GCACCUUUAAAGGACAGUCCCGUGAGGCUGGCAAGGGUUUAUAGUACGGAGCAAGUGGACGAGUGUGAGCUCCUUGCCUGUCUGUGGGCAAGGGGCUUUUUUU